rnacentral:rRNA from 1 species
CCUACGGGUGGCAGCAGUGGGGAAUAUUGCACAAUGGGGGGAACCCUGAUGCAGCAACGCCGCGUGGGUGAAGAAGUACUUCGGUAUGUAAAGCCCUGUCAGCAGGGAAGAAAAUGACGGUACCUGACCAAGAAGCCCCGGCUAACUACGUGCCAGCAGCCGCGGUAAUACGUAGGGGGCAAGCGUUAUCCGGAUUUACUGGGUGUAAAGGGAGCGUAGACGGAUAAGCAAGUCUGAUGUGAAAAUCCGGGGCCCAACCCCGGAAUUGCAUUGGAAACUGCAUAUCUAGAGUGUCGGAGAGGCAAGUGGAAUUCCUGGUGUAGCGGUGAAAUGCGUAGAUAUCAGGAGGAACACCAGUGGCGAAGGCGGCUUGCUGGACGAUGACUGACGUUGAGGCUCGAAAGCGUGGGGAGCAAACAGGAUUAGAUACCCUAGUAGUC